AUGCCGGUCAGUUUACUGAAUAGUUCAUGAACUGUAAUUCUGAGGGCUUGUGUGAAAGAAAAUGUCUCUCUCUCUCUCCCCCUCUCUCUCUUUUUCCCUCUAAAAAGAAGAAACACCAAGUACCCAGGGGGAAGGGGCGAUGAGGGGGGGCGAGGGCGGCUGGAGGGAGCAGAGGUGGCUUUGUCUUGUCAUUUAGAGAGGGAAAAAAAAGAAGCUAACAGUCAAGCCACUUUGUGUCACUGCCCAAGUCAACCCCCAUCGCUGAGGGAGAAGAAAUCAUGGAUUGGAGGAGAAAGCACCAGAAGUAUUACUAUGUUGUGUCAUGGGCCUGAUCCUGGUCUGCUUGAACUCAAUACAAACAGGAAAAUAGUAAUAUAGUGUGAGCAGGAGCGGAGUCAAAGGGUUUUGGGCAAUGGGAGAUGAUCCUUCCCAAAAUCCUCCACAGCCAACAGGGUGCAGAGCAUGUCAAUUGUGUAAGGGAAGCAACAGUUCCCAAAGCAGGGAUGGCUCAGGAAAUGCAGGCUCAGAGCUACAGAGAGCAUGGAAAGAAAUAGGUGGAUGGUUCUUCUCAUCCUAACUCAAGCUCUGCCCCUAACUCAAGUUCAAAGUGGUCUGCUGCAAGGAGGGACAUCCCCUGACGUGCUGCCCCAGAAGCUGCGGGGUGGUGUCUCAGGCUGAAGCUGCCUCAGGUUUCCCUACAGAGAAGACCCAGCACGGGCUGCCCCACACUCCUGCCCGGGUGUUACACCACACCAAUAAGCUCAGUCAAUCAUCAUUCUUGCUUUCAGACACAAUGCACCUAUCAGCAUUUCUUGGGGACUCUCAGGGUUUGCUAAAUCCCUGUUAAUUCCCUCAGGGUCUCAACAGCACCUGAUGGCACCUGUGGAAGCAGUGGGCUGCCUCUCUCAAGCACAUCCACACAACCAUGGGGUAACAGCCCCUCUGCAGCAAUCUCAGCCCAGGCAGCACUGCGCAGCAGAUUCCCUUGACUCCCCUUCCCUUCAAUACAAUGGGACCUAAUUCCUGCAACACUUCUUUUUCUUUUUGUGGGGGAAAUGCAGCAAGUUGUUUACUUGAGUAAUAAGCGCACUGUAUUUGUUGUAAAAAUGCGUUCUUGUUAUUGCAGCAGAUUAAUGAAUAUGUGAAUCACAGCUGAGGAGUGUCACUCUCGCUGACUUCGUUAUGCAGAAGGUAGCAGGAAACAA
rnacentral:lncRNA from 1 species